rnacentral:rRNA from 1 species
GUGAGGAAUAUUGGUCAAUGGGCGCAAGCCUGAACCAGCCAUGUCGCGUGCAGGAAGACGGUCCUAUGGAUUGUAAACUGCUUUUAUUUGGGAAUAAACUCCGGUACGUGUACCGGCCUGAAGGUACCAAAUGAAUAAGCACCGGCUAACUCCGUGCCAGCAGCCGCGGUAAUACGGAGGGUGCAAGCGUUAUCCGGAAUCAUUGGGUUUAAAGGGUCCGCAGGCGGUCUUAUAAGUCAGUGGUGAAAGCCUACAGCUCAACUGUAGAACUGCCAUUGAUACUGUAGGACUUGAAUUCGAUCGAAGUGGGCGGAAUGUGACAUGUAGCGGUGAAAUGCUUAGAUAUGUCACAGAACACCGAUAGCGAAGGCAGCUCACUAGGUCUGGAUUGACGCUCAGGGACGAAAGCGUGGGGAGCAAACAGGAUUAGAAACCCUUGUAGUCC